AAGGGAAGUCGGCAAAAUGGAUCUGUAACUUCGGAAAAAGGAUUGGCUUUGAGGAUUGGGCCAGAGGAUCUCGAACCUAUCUGCUGUCGGUGGACUGCUCGAGCUGCUCACGCAGCGACAGUGGGUCGCCGCGUGCAGGCCAGGGGACGGAUCGGGAAUCGACUUAGAACUGGUACUGACAACGGUGAAUCGGACUGUUUAAUUAAAACAAAGCAUUGUGAUGGUCCUCACGGAUGCUGAUGCAAUCCACAUACGAUUCAACAUUUUCUCU
rnacentral:ncRNA from 1 species